UACUGGUUCAAGUUUGUUUUCAGCACUGGACAGAAAUAAUGCUACACAUUUAAAACAUCUGAGAGCUUUUUAGUUGUGGUCUUAAUGUCAUUAAACGUUUACAGGCAAAUUAACGGUCUUUUCUAACAGUGCAACCCACCCAAGACCUCGGCACCAGUUACCUUAAACUGCUUAUGGAUCAUGCCCACAAGGAUCCAAGCUACCGACAGCAUCGAGGUGAGGGGUGAAGGGUCUGCGCUAGGCCAAAGGCAGGGGGUGACGAUGUGGCAGAGAAGUCACUUGUGGGGAGAACAGAAGGCAGAGCCAAGCGUUUAUAUGCAAGUCAAAAUCCUGAACAGCCUCAUGAAGGAUGAAACGAAGCCUCUGCAAAGGAAAGUUCUUUAAAAAACCCACAUGCCCCCCACCAAGUGUCUAUAUAAAAGGCUAAUAAGUGUAAAGCAUUGGCUAACACUAGAUGAGAUGGUAAGCAUUUCAAUUUAACAUGCAAACUUUGGAAAUGUGGACCGCAUUAUACUUCAGUACUGUCAAUUUCGACUCCUGACUUUCUGAAAAAUGCGUAGGUGUAGUUACCUGUUCUUCUGAUCAUAAUCUCCCACCUGCCUAAUAAGUAUUUAUUCCUUAUUUAUUUAGAGGGUCUCUAUGGCCAUGUGCCUGGAAUUAUUAAAUGGUCAUCAAUUUUACGAAGGAUAAAAUUUGUCUUUCCUGCCUUAAGUUAAAUUCGUUCUUCAGCUCAAUUCCUGAUCUUGUCCAUUACAGAGUGUUCGCAGACAAAGUCUCUGAAAGAUGAGAAGAAUCCCCCCAAGAUUGCCCAACACUAACUACAGACAAACAAUAUUUUAUUUAAAUAAGGAGACAGCUUUCUAAAAGCAUACAUUCGCUAAAUAAAGUAUUUUAUUUUGAGUGAUUUUACGGUUUUCUGCACAAUACACAUAACAUUUAAAUUUUAGCAAGGUUAACAUAUCUGAUUCUGGUUAACAGCACAUUAUGCUAUCUUUUCAUAGGGUUUUCAAGAAUCAAUGCUAAACAAAUUUUUAUUUUAUCAACAUUAUCCUUGAUUAUUAAGGUAUUAAUCUCAAGAGGCUUUAAGGAAUUACUUGCCUCGAGUGAAGUGAGUUAGCCCAUCAUGGAAGCCCACAGGCAUAAGGCCUGUCUCAUUUUAAAAGGCUGGAUGGGAAAAUUCCUCAAAAUCCUGAGAUCCCUUGAGUAAGGGACCUAGGACCUCCACAGCUCUUAUUAAACAUAGCACUUAUCCCUAACAUGCAAUACUGCAGAUGCAAGUUAAACUUAUCUGUGAACAGCUGCCUGCUGUUUUCUGCUCCCAGA
rnacentral:lncRNA from 1 species